UUUCCGUAGGUGAACCUGCGGAAGGAUCAUUAAAGAGAAUAUGCCCUUCGGGGUAGAUCUCCCACCCUUUGUUUAUAUUACCUUUGUUGCUUUGGCAGGCCCGUCUUCAGACCACCGGCUUCGGCUGGUCAGUGCUUGCCAGAGGACCCAAAACUCUUAUUAUUAAUGUCGUCUGAGUACUAUAUAAUAGUUAAAACUUUCAACAACGGAUCUCUUGGUUCUU
rnacentral:misc_RNA from 1 species